GUCUACGACUAUAUCACCCUGAAUGCAGCUAAUCUUAGAAGCUAAGCAAGGUCAGUCCUGGUUAGUACUUAGAUGGGAGAAAACAGUUAUGAAUGACC
rnacentral:rRNA from 10 species